rnacentral:misc_RNA from 1 species
UUGUGAAGCAUCAUUCCUACAGAUAUUCUAAUCAAAAUAUCCAAGCAGCAUUGUAUCCGUUUCAGCACAAAACAUGGACAGUUAAUCCCCUUGGAAUUAAGAAGAGCUAACAAAGUAGACAUUCAAUGAAAUGGCACCAGAAAAUGUUGUUUUCAUUAGAGAAAUAAGAACAGUAAUCCUAGCUUAUAGAGAUAUCUUCUAGGAAUGGCAAGCAGCUUCUAAUGCAUAGAGACAAAAUCAUCUACCAUUAUCGGAUUCAAAGUAAGGGAUUGCUAAGAAAUGGACACUUCUCGAACCAGAUGUGUUCCGUGGUUAUCCCUUGAACUCCAUUAGUGUCCUAGAUUUCGGCACUUUCACAUCCGUCUUGAAACCAAAAACAACUAAUCCAAAUUACCACAUUAAAAUCAGCCUCUAGCAACUCGUCCAGGACUACAUUGCCCAUAAAGAAUUGAACAAAACAACCUUUAUUUUUCAAGUUAAAACGAUCAAGGUAUAUGUAAAUUUGGGUACAGCAUCUUAAGGAGUCCAAUUUGAUAAGCAAAAUUCAGCAGUCUCGUCUCAAUUAUCCCACAUCAAAUUAGUUUGAAGCUGUUCAAAAUCAAAACCCAUCUAAGGAUCUAGUUCUUUCACAUCCAAAUCUGCUCCAAAUUCCAUGGUCCCCUCAAAAUCCCACUCCAGAUCCCUCAAAGUUAACCCCAAACACCUAAAAAAACAGAUCACUCCACAUAGAAGGCAAAAACAACCAGAAAUGAACAAAUUCCCCAACCUAACCAACGUAAACUCUAACAAACCAUUACGGAUCCGGACAAUUUCCAAAAAAA